GUGGGGAAUAUUGGACAAUGGGCGCAAGCCUGAUCCAGCCAUGCCGCGUGUGUGAAGAAGGCCUUUUGGUUGUAAAGCACUUUAAGCGAGGAGGAGGCUACUUGGAUUAAUACUCUAGGAUAGUGGACGUUACUCGCAGAAUAAGCACCGGCUAACUCUGUGCCAGCAGCCGCGGUAAUACAGAGGGUGCGAGCGUUAAUCGGAUUUACUGGGCGUAAAGCGUGCGUAGGCGGCUUUUUAAGUCGGAUGUGAAAUCCCUGAGCUUAACUUAGGAAUUGCAUUCGAUACUGGGAAGCUAGAGUAUGGGAGAGGAUGGUAGAAUUCCAGGUGUAGCGGUGAAAUGCGUAGAGAUCUGGAGGAAUACCGAUGGCGAAGGCAGCCAUCUGGCCUAAUACUGACGCUGAGGUACGAAAGCAUGGGGAGCAAACAGGAUUAGAAACCCUUGUAGUCC
rnacentral:rRNA from 1 species